GUGGGAAUCUGCAAGCAAAUAGCGGGGCGCUCUCUCUGUAAAUAGAGAGAGCGCCCCGCUAUUUGCUUGCAGAUUCCCAC
rnacentral:miRNA from 1 species